CCUACGGGAGGCAGCAGUGAGGAAUAUUGGUCAAUGGGCGCGAGCCUGAACCAGCCAAGUCGCGUGAGGGAAGACGGUCCUAUGGAUUGUAAACCUCUUUUGUCGGGGAGCAAAAGACGCCACGCGUGGCGUUCCGAGAGUCCCCGAAGAAAAAGCAUCGGCUAACUCCGUGCCAGCAGCCGCGGUAAUACGGAGGAUGCGAGCGUUAUCCGGAUUUAUUGGGUUUACGGGGUGCGCAGGCGGAAGAUCAAGGCAGCGGUAAAAUUGAGAGGCUCAACCUCUUCGAGCCGUUGAACAUGGUUUUCUUGAGUGAGCGAGAAGGAAGCGGAAUGGGUGGUGUAGCGGGGAAAUGCAUAGAU
rnacentral:rRNA from 1 species